rnacentral:rRNA from 1 species
AAUCAACGCUGGCGGCGUGCCUCAGACAUGCAAGUCGAACGCGAAAGUCCCCUUCGGGGGACAAGUAGAGUGGCGCACGGGUGAGUAACACGUAGGUAAUCUACCUUCGGAUGGGGAAUAACAACCGGAAACGGUUGCUAAUACCGCAUAAUGCAGCGGCACCUAAUGGUGACAGUUGUUAAAGCGGGGGAUCGAAAGACCCCGCGUCUGAAGAGGAGCCUGCGGCGGAUUAGCUAGUUGGAAGGUAAUGGCUUACCAAGGCGACGAUCCGUAGCCGGCCUGAGAGGGCGGUCGGCCACACUGACACUGACAUACGGGCCAGACUCCUACGGGAGGCAGCAGUCGGAAUUUUGGGCAAUGGGCGAAAGCCUGACCCAGCAACGCCGCGUGAAGGAUGAAAUCCCU